rnacentral:lncRNA from 1 species
AUAAAUUAGAAUAUUUGUGUCCCAAUGGCUGAAAUCCACAAUCCUGAAAUCAUGAUUCUCAAAGAGAAAGUAUAAUCAAUUAAACACAGAAGUUUCAUCAGUGAGUGCGUCCCUUUAAAUAAUAAUUUUGAAUAUUCUUGUUUAAACAUAAAACUAAUCAUGGCAACAAUCCCAUGUUCGAAGCAAAAGUUAGACCAUUAUCCCAAUUUAUCACAAUUUCAUCCACAUAGGCCAACACAUAAAUGUAGCAUCAUAAACGAUGCGCAAACUCAUCCCCAGGUGAAAAAUCAAUUGGCAAAGUAUCCCAUCAAAAUAUAUCAUCCCAAUAACGGCGGCUCAUACACACAGUGGUGAAUAAAAUUAAAUAACGAGAGUUCACAGGCUUCAAACAUAAUAGGCUUUCUAAGAAUAAUAUUCACUGCUCCGCCCAUUUUCCUUCCCUAUCCUCAUUCAUGACUCCGCAUGAAUUUAAUCAACAAUAGUUCAAAUCAAAUAUCCCACAUCAAGCAAAGGCAGAGAAAGUUAAAAUCCCAAGUGCAGUUCUACAACGGGAUUUACAACCAUAAAUAUUGUAGAAAAUUUCAAUCUCAAUAAGAGGUUUCGAGUCGUUACUCCCUGUUCCAGGUAUUUUGGAAAGACGGAUGAAGGUGGUCAUUCCCUAGCUUUCAUGGCGGCAUAAGAAUCGCCAGCGAGGAUUUUGGAUUUGGUCCAGAAAAAAGCACUGCUCUCCUGCAGUCACUACUGUUCUUUGUUAGCUAAUUCAGCAGCUUCUCUUAGCUCCACUGAUUGCCUUGUCUAUCUCAAUAUCCCAUGUUAUAUAAGCUUGUCAAGCUUCCACCCUAGACCCGCGUUUGCCAGAGCUGGUUGAAGCUAGGUUAUAAUUGGCCAAGCAUCCCUAUUCACAAGAGUUAUUGGCACUUGUACGAUUAAUAUUCACAAGUAGAGUCGAAGCAAUUCAUAUUUGAAAGAUCAAUUUCAAAAGUUAUGAAAUCUGAUUUUAAAAUACUGUGCCACGUUUUGAAUUUGUCAAGUCAAGGUGUUAUCACGGUUGACACCCGCAAUUUGGCGUAACUAUAAGUAUGCUUCCCAUAGAACCUCAAAAUAAAUACCAAAGCAAAGCAAAACAUCCCUAUUAGCCUCAACUAAACUACACAAAAUCAAAUCUUAAAUGAGUAAAUUUCGAGUAAUGUAAUCAAGCUCAAUCCCGCGAAAAAUUAAACUCAAUGAAGACUCUUCCACAAAUGCAUUUUGCCGUAUGUUAUGCCCUUAUCUUGACCAAUUAAACCCACAAUAACAAUCAAACCAACAUUCAACAGAAUAGUAGCAGAAGGAACAUGACGUAUUCACCAGAAUUCAAUGCAGUAAAGAGAGGCAAAUGACUUAGCUUUUGUUUCUGUUUCUUCAUGAGACUCGGAUCUUCAUUUGAAGGUUGUGUGGCCAAAGUAAGUUUACAUUCCGACCCUUUUGGUGAUCGAAAUACAUAAAUAAUGUCAGUUGUGGCUUCGAAGAUAGAAAGUCUCUUCCAAAGCUAAAUUAACAAUGUCGAGCCCGUCUUCAAUCUUCAUCAAUCGCAUUGAGGGCUGUCGUCACAGCAGCACCCUAGUCAGCUCUACCAUCCCUUCGCUUAGGCAGUCAGUGUGCGUUCAACUGCAAACGCUGAAUAUUUAUCACACAAAGGCAUCUCCGGCGCUGAGCUAAGAUGGUGCACGGAUUAGAAAGACUCCUAAUGCAAAACCAAAGCCGAGUCAUAACCGUAUUAGUUCCGAACUUAGAGCUAAAUCCCAGCAAUAUCAAUCGCAAAAUCAGAGUAAAAUCCUGAUAAUGUCAAUCCCAAAUUUAGAGAAAUCAUCGUGAAAUCAAAACAAGAGCACAACAAAAUCUAGCAACAUCACUUAACUUUUUAUUGACCGAAAGUGUGGAUGCUUUCCUGAUAUCCUCUAUAUUUAGUCAACUCUAUCAUUGACAACAUUAUGAUAUCACAAUUUCGUCAGGCAAUUAGAGUAAGCAACAUAACAUGUUUAGUAGAUCAUGCCAUCAUCAUCCUCGAUCACUCAGACUCACAAAAGAAAUCAAGUAUAGUGGAGACUUUUCAUAGAUGCAAAUUGCACCACGUUAUGCCCUAUAUCCAUCAAUUGAACCAACAAUCAACUAGUACAGCAGUAGCAAGUAAUUGACUCAUCAAGACUUAGUACAGUGAAAAUAGAUAACUUAGCUUUUGACGAAGGAAGAACAACUGCUCUGUUCAGUCGAGCAUGCAGCGGAGCGGCGAACCUCGCCAGCCCUCGGUGGCAGCGGAGGCAGCGAUUCUGAUAGUGGAACCUAGGGCUCUGUUCCUGUCUUUGUUGGGCUCGAAUGAAUCUGUUCCAGAGGGCGGUAAUUCGUCGCGGCAUCGAUUUUCGCCGGAUAAGGCGACGGGGUGGCUUGAAUCUAUGUGGGAGAAUGUUCUGUGGUGUUUAAGAG